UCUAAGGACUAUGUGAAUAGGGGACUCCAUCCCUGUGUGAACUCCACAGACUGCAGGAACACAGACAGAGGGACAGCUGGCCACACACCUGGGCCACAAGGUGUGUCCAUGUGGCUUCUGGGCCACACUGAACAGCACAACAUGAGCAUCCCUGAGAAGAUGGUCUCUCAGCUGACAGAUGAGGAAACUUGAGGAGCUCCCCAGGGGGCUGUGGUACACAUUUACCUAUGUGCAGAAACUUCUGUGUUGCAGAGCCCCCAGCCACACAUCAACUCCCGGAAGGAGGGAUUUUCACCUUUCUUCCAGGUCAUGCAGCAGAGACAGAGGCCCUCCUCACCUGUAAAGCCCUUUAGGAACCUCCAGGAUAACUGGCUCUGCGGUAGAAGCCGAACUUGCUGAAACGGCCUGCAUCUGCCACCAUAUCAGCAAAAGGCACCCCAUCCACUCUGAAAACAGAAGACACCCCAGGCCAGCACAGCUCCAAGUGCCCAGUCUCCCAAGGGCUCUACUGUCCCUAGAGUGAGUGACGGACUUGGUCUCUGCAGACAUCUGUUUCAAAUCCACAGACUUAGUAACUCUUUGAAAAGAACAAACAAAAUUCAAUUUGCUCACAAAGAAUGUCAGACUGGGGUCCCCAGCGCUUUAUUAAAAAUGUAUAUAAAAAGACAAAGCAUUUGAA